AUUGAACGCUGGCGGCAGGCCUAACACAUGCAAGUCGAGCGAGCGGCGGACGGGUGAGUAAUGUAUGGGGACUGCCCGAUAGAGGGGGAUAACUACUGGAAACGGUGGCUAAUACCGCAUACUAUCGGAUAACCCAUAUGGGAUUAGCUAGUAGGUGGGGUACAGGCUCACCUAGGCGACGAUCUCUAGCUGGUCUGAGAGGAGACUAAGCACCACGGUGACUGGAACACGGCCCAGACUCCUACGGAUGCAGCAGGUGGGAAUAUUGCACAAUGGGCGAAAGCCUGAUGCAGCCAUGCCGGGUGUAUGAAGAAGGCCUUAGGGUUGUAAAGUACUUUCAGCGGGGAGGCGUUACCCGCAGAAGAAGCACCGGCUAACUCCGUGCCAGCAGCCGCGGUAAUU
rnacentral:rRNA from 1 species